ACGCCUUCUAUUAAGACGCGCGGGAUCGUUAUCGAUUGGAGGUUAAGCCUUCAAGCCGGAUCAUACGGUUUGAGGAGUCACCACUUGAUUGAACUGCCGGUCUUCAGAGGGACGAGUGGGAUUAGCCAUCGGCCACCUGAUCACAUGCGGGGUGGGAGAGGCUCGGUGUAAGCAUUGUCAGGAGAAUCGCACUGAUAAUACGGGUGUGGAUGACGUACUGAGAUAGACGCUACUACGUGCAGCAGCGCGUAUACGUAGGGUCAGCGUAUCGGAAUACUGGCGUAAAGCGUGCGCAGGCGGUGUGCAAGACCGAUGUGAAAUCCCCGGGCUUAACCUGGGAAUUGCAUUGGUGACUGCACGGCUAGAGUGUGUCAGAGGGGGGUAGAAUUGCACGUGUAGCAGUGAAAUGCGUAGAGAUGUGGAGGAAUACCGAUGGCGAAGGCAGCCCCCUGGGAUAACACUGACGCUCAUGCACGAAAGCGUGGGGAGCAAACAGGAUUAGAUACCCUGGUAGUCCACGCCCUAAACGAUGUCAACUAGUUGUUGGGGAUUCAUUUCCUUAGUAACGUAGCUAACGCGUGAAGUUGACCGCCUGGGGAGUACGGUCGCAAGAUUAAAACUCAAAGGAAUUGACGGGGACCCGCACAAGCGGUGGAUGAUGUGGAUUAAUUCGAUGCAACGCGAAAAACCUUACCUACCCUUGACAUGCCACUAACGAAGCAGAGAUGCAUUAGGUGCUCGAAAGAGAAAGUGGACACUGGUGCUGCUUGGCUGUCGUCAGCUCGUGUCGUGAGAUGUUGGGUUAAGUCCCGCAACGAGCGCAACCCUUGUCUCUAGUUGCUACGAAAGGGCACUCUAGAGAGACUGCCGGUGACAAACCGGAGGAAGGUGGGGAUGACGUCAAGUCCUCAUGGCCCUUAUGGGUAGGGCUUCACACGUCAUACAAUGGUGCAUACAGAGGGUUGCCAAGCCGCGAGGUGGAGCCAAUCCCAGAAAAUGCAUCGUAGUCCGGAUCGUAGUCUGCAACUCGACUACGUGGAGCUGGAAUCGCUAGUAAUCGCGGAUCAGCAUGGAUCGUAUUUCCCG
rnacentral:rRNA from 1 species